ensembl:snRNA U6 U6 spliceosomal RNA
GUGUUUAGUACACACACUAAAGUUGGAGUGAUGCAGAGAAAAUUAGCAUGGACUCUGUGCAAGGAUGGCAUGCUAAUCCACAAAGCAUGCCAUGUUGAG